rnacentral:lncRNA from 1 species
UUCGAUUAGUACUUUUCAAUUGAUAAAUAUUUGUCACAUUUGAAUCGAAACUUAACAAGUCAAGCAAAUAAUAGAUAAUAACCAAUAUAACCGAAUGCCACAUGGCAUUAUCUAGUUGAUCCGAUGGUAGUUAAGGUAGAAGGGUAAUAUUGUAAUUAGUCUUUGUGGCUAUAUAAGAAGUAGUAGUGUGUUCAGUUGUAUGGAGAUAUCAUUGUAAUCUUUCUGAAGUUUCAUAUAUACAAUCUCUCUCUCUUUCUCUCUCUCUGUCUUCUUCCAUCUCCUUAGUUCAGUCAUCCAUUGUUGUUCAUGUUAAUAUGGUAUCAUCGCCGGCAUUGGCUCGUCGCCAUUCUUGAUUCUGGUGAAAACUUCGGCUGGUUUGGGUGCUGUUUUGAAGAUUGGGUGUUCGGAGAUUCGGGGCUCGAAGAAUGGGCGUUUGGUAAUCUGGAUCGACGUUCUGAAAAUCUGGAGCGAAUCAGGUGCUUUUGUUUCUUUCUUGGAGCUGUGGUAUUUGGGGUUUUGGUUCAAUUUGUUGAAAUUUAAUUGAAGCGACUAUUUAGGGGUUUUGGUAGAAUAGUGAUGUGUUGAUUUCUGCAAUUAUCAUUCUUUCUGUAUUGGUUCUUGGAGUAUCAUUCUCUAGGACUUAUCGGUUUAACGAAGAAAGUGUCAUUCUUUCUAUGAAUUUGGAGUUUCAGUCUCCUGUGCUGUGUUUUGGAGUGUCAAUCUCCUGAUUUAGUGUCUGUAUUAUUCAUUCUAUGAAUCUUGGAGUUUUAGUCUCCUGUGUUGUGUUUUGGAGUGUCAAUCUCCUGAUUUAGUGUCUCUAGUCGAAGUGUGUGAUUUGUGUUGUGCUUUGGAGUGUCAAUCUCCUUAUUUGAGCGUGGUUCUGUGAAUCUUGGAAGUCUCUUGUGUAAUCGUGGAGUGUCAGUCUCCUUGUUUGGUAAUUUUUUCAUUCAGCGUUUUGAUUGAUUGAAUCUUUUUCAAUGGCGUCUUCUUCAUUCAAGAUUGAGCAUUUGUUGGGUAUGUUGACUAUAAAACUUAGAGAUGAUAAUUUUGCCAAAUGGGCCUUUCAGUUUCAGUCGGUUCUUAAAGGGUACAAAUUAUUUGGUCAUUUUGAUGACACGAUUGGUUGCCCAUCAAAGUAUGCAGUUAGUUCAUAGGCUGGUAUUACAAGGGAGAUUACCACAGAGUUUCUUGAUUGGGAGUCUACUGAUAUGGCUCUUAUUAGUCUGCUGUUGGCUACACUAACAUAUGAGGCAAUGGAAUAUGUCUUGGGGUGCAGGACUGCCUUUGAAGCAUGGUCAAAUCUUGUUGAACGGUAUGCUUCUGUUUCGAAGUCUAGGGUUAAUCAUUUGAAAACUGAGUUGCAUACGAUUCAGAAGGGGGCAGAUAGUAUUGAUAAAUACUUGUUGCGUUUGAAGAAUAUAAGAGAUCAGUUAAUGGCUGCAGGAGAGACAGUUUCUGAUAAUGAUAUUAUCAUUGCUAGGUUGGCAAGUUUACCUAAGGAAUAUGGUGUUAUUCGCACUAUUAUCUUGGCACAGGAAUCUUCCAUUACCUUACAGGAAUUUCGUGCACAAUUACUUGGAACUGAAAAGGAGAUUGAAGGAGAAAUGAAUCUGCUAUCUCAGAACAUGGCUGUUAUGUAUGUUCACGGUUCUCACUCUGGUCAGACUACUAAUUUGGGAUCUGUCAUGUAUGGAAGUGGAUCUUCGAAUGGUGCAUCUUCAUCCAAUUCUCAACAUCAUGCUCAUAUACCUGCUACUACAGGUGGCACAAUUAGUCAGCAAACACAGAGUGCAUUUAAUAAUGCUUAUCACCAUGGUGUGGAGUUUCAGAUGUUUGGAUCUAAUACGCUUCCUCCAGGGCAUCAUGAUCAAUCAUAUGGAUAUGGUCUUGUAGCUCAAUCUAAUUCUGGUCAGCAGCAAGGGUUCAGGACUCAGAACUAUAAUGGGGGUAAUCGUUUGGCAAUGGCAAUGGUGGUCAAUACAGGAAUAAUAGCAACAACUAUAGAACUGGUAACAAUUUCAGAGGUCGAGGGUUUCAUAGUGGUAAUGGUCAUUAUUCAUCCGGGUCAAGACAAGUUCAGAAUGUUACUGGAUCAUGGUCAGGCAAUACAGAAGCUAGGCUAAAUGUUGUUAUUGAGUGUCAAAUUUGCAAUAAACGAGGGCAUACUGCAGUGAACUGUUUUCACAUAAAUACGAGCAAUACAACACCUGGUUUUAUUGUGGAGUGUCAAAUAUGUGGCAAAAGAGGACAUUCUGCUCUUGACUGUUUCCAUAGAGCCAAUUACACUUAUCAAGGACAGCCACCUCCAUCUUCCCUAUCUGCCAUGAAUGCACAACAAACAUCUCAGGUCCUUCCUCCGGAUUCGUGGAUUGUGGACUCGGGUGCGUCACACCACAUGAUUGCCGAUAUAAAUGCAUUAAAUCAAGUGGCUUCUUAUCAAGGUUCUGAUAAUAUAACCAUUGGUAAUGGUUCAAGUUUACCAAUUACACAUAUUGGCUCCACUGCUAUUCAUAUUGCUGAUCUUUCUCUUGUUCUCAGUAAAGUUCUUCAUGUUCCAAAUAUUGCCAGAAAUCUUCUUUCAGUGAAACAAUUAUGUGCAGAUAAUAAUAGUUGGUUUAUAUGUGAUGAGUGUGAAUUUUUUGUGCAGGACAAGAAGACAAGGGAGGUGGUGUAUCACGGAAGGAGUAAACCAGAAGAGUUGUUUCAGAUUCCGGUGGUUAAAGUUUCUGGAAGGCUAGAAUUUGUUACAAGAGAUCCAAUGGUUUACUUAGGGAAAAUGGUGAAAUCAGAUAUUUGGCAUCAACGAUUAGGACAUCCAGCACAUGAUACAAUGGCAGCAAUGUUAAGACAGUCUAAAGUUGUACACAAGAUAGAUAAUACAUGUACUACUUGUACUUCUUGUAUUCAAGGAAAAAUGUCUAGAGUACCUUUUCCGGUUAGAAAUAACAGAUGUGUGGUUCCUUUUGAGAAAGUUCAUACUGAUGUUUAGGGUCCAACUCCUGUAAAGUCUGUGGAAGGUUUUAGAUACUAUGUACUGUUUGUUGAUGAAUAUACAAGAUUUACUUGGAUAUUUCCCAUGUGCAACAAAUCUGAUGUAUUUGCAAUUUUUGUCAAGUUUUAUACUUUUAUUUGCACUCAGUUUGGAAUGACAAUUAAAGGGUUGCAAACAGAUGGUGGAGGUGAAUAUACUAGCAAGAGGUUUACAUCUUUCUUGGCUGAAAAAAGGCAUUAUGCAAUUUAUUUCAUGUCCUUACACUCCUCAACAGAAUGGGAUUUCUGAGAGGAAACAUAGGCAUGUGGUGGAUACUGCUCUCACUUUACUAAGUGCUUUUGGUGUAAGUAGUGAGUUUUGGUACUUUGCUUGUGCACAUGCAGUAUUUCUGAUUAAUAAAAUGCCUUGUAAGACUUUGUCCUUUAGUUCUCCUUAUCUGCUGUUAUACAACCAGUUACCUGAGUUGCAGUCUUUGAGAAUAUUUGGAUCUGUUGUAUUUCCUUGGAUAAAACCUUACAACAGUCAUAAAUUGCAGUUUAAAUCCAAAAUGUGUAUUUUCUUAGGUUAUGCAAUGGGGUAUAAGGGCAUUAUCUGUUAUGAUCAACAGUCCAAGAAGUGUUUUAUAUCAAGGUAUGUCAUUUUUUAAGAAUCCAUUUUUCCUGCAAAGUUAAAGUCUUCUCACAGUGGUGAUAUUUCUGGUAAGUCAACUGGUAACACUAAUACUGUGAUUCUGCCAUUUCCUAUUCCCCUAAGUGCUACAAGGAAUCAUUCUGAGCAUAGUCAGUCACCAGUUAUUCAUCCUGUUGGGACAUCAGGAUCUGUCAGUACUUCUCCACAACUUCAAAGUCAUGCAUCUUCAUCAGCAUCAACACCUGGUAAUUCCAACUCUUCAGCUAGUGAUACACCACAUCAAUCUCCUUUGCUUCCUGUCCUCGAUCCCACUCAACUACAGGUAAUACUUCCUCUUUCUGACAGCUCAUCUCAUACUGGUUCACCUGUCUUACCUGUCCAACACCCACCACAUCAUGGGAUUCAAACUAGAUUACAAACAGGAGCUAUCUCAAGAAAGAAUUAUACUGCUUAUCUUACAGCGUUACCUGAGUUAAGUUCAUUACAAAUUCUGGACUCAGGUUCUGAUAAUUCUGGUUUUGGUCCAACUACUGGUGCAUGCUUUGCUGGUUUUUCGUUCUUAGCAGAUAUAUUUGAAAUUGAAGAACCUAAGACUUUUAGGGUUGCAUCUUGUAAAUCUGAGUGGCAAAAAGCUAUGCAAGAAGAGUAUGAUGCUUUAAAGGCUCAAGGUACUUGGAUUCUAGUUCCUACUCCAUCCAACAUAACCAUUGUAGGCAGUAAAUGGGUCUAUAAAAUCAAGAAAAAUCCUGAUGGGUCAAUAUCAAGGUAUAAAGCUAGGUUAGUUGCUCAGGGUUACACUCAAGAACAAGGGCUGGAUUACUCAGAAACAUUCAGUCCAGUGGUAAGACACACCACUGUAAGACUUAUUCUUGUCUUAGCUGCCCAAUAUGGCUGGAAUCUGCGACAACUAGACAUUAAAAAUGCCUUUUUGCAUGGUGAUCUCAAGGAAGAGGUUUAUAUGCAGCAGCCUCGAGGCUUUGUGGAUACUUCUUCUCCAAAUCAUGUGUGUAAACUCAUUAAGUCGUUUUAUGGCUUAAAGCAAGCCCCGAGAGCCUGGAACUCAAAGUUUACGAGUUAUCUUCCAUCUCUUGGUUUCAAAACUUCUCUUUCGGAUACAAGUUUAUUUGUUAAAGUCGAUGAAGGCGAUAUUAUUCUUCUACUACUCUAUGUAGACGACAUCAUACUCACUAGCUCUAAUUCUACAAAAAUUCAAGUAGUAAUCACUAAUCUUGCAGAAGUGUUUGAUCUCAAGGAUAUGGGCAGAUUAUCUUUUUUCUUGGGCUUGCAUAUUCAGUAUAAAGAUGAUGGGUCACUGUUUAUAAGUUAAUCUAAAUAUGCUAAGGAUUUACUGAAGAAGGCGGCCAUGGAGACAUGUAAGCCCACAUCCACACCAUCAAAACCACAUGCUCAGCUACUUGAACAAGAAGGCACUGCUCUCUCUGAUCCAAGUCAUUAUCGAAGUCUAGUAGGGGCUCUUCAGUAUUUGACCUUUACUCGGCCAGAUCUUGCUCAUGCUAUUAACAUGGUCUGUCAGUUUAUGACUUCCCCAACAGAUCUUCACAUGCACCUUGUCAAAAGAAUCUUGAGAUACCUAAAAGGAACACUUGACUAUGGUCUGCACUACAAAAAGAGCUUGGAUUUCAAUCUACUUGCCUAUUCAGAUUCAGAUUGGGCAGCACACAUAAAUACCCGAAGGUCUAUAUCUGGAUUUGUGAUUUACUUAGGAGAUAACCCAAUCUCAUGGCAAUCUAAGAAGCAGUCAACAGUUUCUCGUAGUUCCACUGAGGCUGAAUACAAAGCUCUAGCACAUUAUGCAGCAGAUUUGUUUUGGAUUCGGGCUCUCCUCAAAGAUAUGCAUCAGAGAAUUUUGGUCCCUCCAUUACUUUACUGUGAUAACCUUAGUGCCUUGGCUUUAAGCUCCAAUCCUGUUUUUCAUUCCAAGAUCAAACAUCUUGAUACCGACUAUCACUUUGUUCGAGAAAAAGUGCAACGAGGUGAUUUGAUUGUCCAUUAUAUACCUACUACAGAUCAGGUGGCAGAUGUGUUCACAAAAGGAUUGCAUAGUCCCGUGUUUGUCAAGCACUACCGACAGCUUGCACUUGCUGUUUCUGAUCAGUUUCCAGCUGGUUGAUUCAAACUUCACUUGGCUGUUCAGUUUGAGGGGGAAGUAAUAACCAAUAUAACCGAAUGCCACAUGGCAUUAUCUAGUUGAUCCGAUGGUAAUUAAGGUAGAAGGGUAAUAUUGUAAUUAGUCUUUGUGACUAUAUAAGAAGUAGUAGUGUGUUCAGUUGUAUGGAGAUAUCAUUGUAAUCUUUCUGAAGUUUCAUAUAUACAAUCUCUCUUUCUCUUUCUCUCUCUUUGUCUUCUUCCAUCUCCUUAGUUCAGUCAUCCAUUGUU